AGAUAGACAGAUAUUGUUAAGACAAACCUGCUCUUCCCAGCCGACCGUGUUGAAUUGAAAGUGCAGUGGGCGCGUAGUUAAAAAACUUCAGAGGUGCGCGACCACGCGCUGUGAC